UGCCGCGUGAGUGAAGAAGGCCUUCGGGUUGUAAAGCGCUUUUGUCCGGGAAGAAAAGGUUACGGCUAAUAUCCUUGGCUCAUGACGGUACCUGAAGAAUAAGCACCGGCUAACUACGUGCCAGCAGCCGCGGUAAUACGUAGGGUGCAAGCGUUAAUCGGAAUUACUGGGCGUAAAGCGUGCGCAGGCGGUUUUGUAAGACUGACGUGAAAUCCCCGGGCUCAACCUGGGAAUGGCGAUUGUGACUGCAUGGCUAGAGUUUGGCAGAGGGGGGUGGAAUUCCACGUGUAGCAGUGAAAUGCGUAGAUAUGUGGAGGAACACCGAUGGCGAAGGCAGCCCCCUGGGUCAAAACUGACGCUCAUGCACGAAAGCGUGGGGAGCAAACAGGGAUUAGAUACCCUGGGUAGUCCACGCCCCUAAAACGAUGUCUACUAGGUGUCGGGGUCUUAAUUUGACUUGGUAACGCAAGCUAACGCGUGAAAGUAUGACCCGCCUGGGGGAGUACGGUCGCAAGAUUUGAAACUCAAAGGAAUUUGACGGGGACCCCGCACAAGCGGUGGGAUGAUGUGGAUUAAUUUCGAUGCAACGCGAAAAACCUUACCUACCCUUUGACAUGG
rnacentral:rRNA from 1 species